rnacentral:lncRNA from 1 species
ACCGAGACCAGGGGCUUGUCCUUGGGCCACCCUGUCUCGUGUCCUGGACACAGUCACAUGACUCGUACAGAAAAUGUCACUGGGAAGACACCAUAAGGCUCAUCUUUUCACGACACAGUGACCUCUGUUAUGGACAUCUUGAUUUCUCUUUGAGAAGCCAUCCCUCCCCCAGUGUGUAUAGUCUAGCAGCCAAGUCCGCCUUGCCUCUGGCCAAGGGCAGCCUGAAACUCAAACAGGGCCCAUCCCUUAUCCCUGGAUGGAAAUCUUGAGCAGAGUGCCUGACGGGACUGAAGAUGGCUGAAAUUCCAGCAAGCAGACAGUGGUUCUCUGAAGAGGCUCCCCUCCGCCCACACCCAUGAGUGUCUGCUCCCCAGAUGCGCUACAGAUGUCUUCUUGGGCUCUCCUUUGGAGCAACUUUCCAAUUUCCUCUGAAACAUGACCUUGGAAUUCAAGGCAUAUUAAGUCUUUCACACACAAGUUCCAUUUGGAAACAAAGAA